GAAUAUUCGACAAUGGGGGAAACCCUGAUCGAGCGACGCCGCGUGUGGGAUGACGCCCUGCGGGGUGUAAACCACUUUUCUGCUUGAGGAAUUUUUGACGUUAGAGCAGGAAUAAGGGGCUGCUAACUUCGUGCCAGCAGCAGCGGUAAUACGAAGGCCCCAAGCGUUAUCCGGAAUUAUUGGGCGUAAAGGGUCCGUAGGCGGUGUGUAUUGUUGUGGGUGAAAGCUCCCGGCUCAACUGGGAAAACGCUCACAAAACGUGCACGCUAGAGGAUGUGAGAGGCAUGUGGAACUCAUGGUGUAGGGGUGAAAUCCGUUGAUAUCAUGGGGAACACCAAAGGCGAAGGCAACAUGCUGGCGCACUCCUGACGCUGAGGGACGAAAGCGUGGGUAGCGAAUGGG
rnacentral:rRNA from 1 species